AUUGAACGCUGGCGGAAUGCUUUACACAUGCAAGUCGAACGGUAGAGGGGGCAACUCCUCGAGAGUGGCGAACGGGUGAGUAAUAUAUCGGAACGUGCCCAGUCGUGGGGGAUAACGUAGCGAAAGUUACGCUAAUACCGCAUACGAUCUAAGGAUGAAAGCGGGGGAUCGCAAGACCUCGCGCGAUUGGAGCGGCCGAUAUCAGAUUAGGUAGUUGGUGGGGUAAAGGCUCAACAAGCCAACGAUCUGUAGCUAGUCUGAGAGGACGACCAGCCACACUGGAACUGAGACACGGUCCAGACUCCUACGGGAGGCAGCAGUGGGGAAGUUUGGACAAUGGACGCAAGUCUGAUCCAGCCAUUCCGCGUGCAGGAUGAAGGCCCUCGGGUUGUAAACUGCUUUUGUACGGAACGAAAAGGUCUCUCUUAAUACGGGGGACUCAUGACGGUACCGUAAGAAUAAGCACCGGCUAACUACGUGCCAGCCGCCGCUGUAA
rnacentral:rRNA from 1 species